UGAGACUUAAUAUUCGUGCUAAGAUUCCUGGUUUCUGAUAGCGCACCGUAUAUUACUAUUUACUAGAGAAAUGCUUUCAUUCCAGGCAGAGGAGCAUACUUGGUGGGAAAUGCAAGUUCAAAUUUGGCAGUGCUGAUUUUGAGAUAUAUAAAAGUUAUCCAGAAACCUUGGUAUUCUAUAACAGCAAAAUAAAAUAAAAUAAAACCAAAAGUCAAAAAAAAAGCAAUGCUUAGUAACAUCAUAAUCAAGCCGUGUGAAACCAAAGGACAGAGUUUACACCUGAUGGAAGAGGAAUAAGCAAAGGAGAAAGGAUGAUGGAUGUGUGAUCGCUGCUGCAGAAACCUCUUUCCAGAGGAGUAAGACUAACAAAAACAAAAGCGAGUUGAAAACGCAGUGGACCUCACCCUCGGACCAGGAAACACGGAGACCUGGAGGCCACAGGCAUCUGAUCAGCCUUCCGUCCCCAAAUUGGCCUUUUUAUGCAGCGAAGGACAUCAUGGUCACUCCUCCAAGACUCAUGAAGAAAUACAAAUGCCUUUGAAAUACUGGCCACUGUGACUGAAUCUCAAAUUGCUACAAGUCUGAGGAGUCAAUGGACCCACCUUAAGACCCGAGAUCCAGUAAUGCAUUUCCUGUGUGACCGUUUCUAUGCCCUCAUCUGUACCUGGGUUUCUGGAGAUGUACCAUCAGCCCUUUCUAAUAAGUACACAUAAUUUUUGUUAUUCAUCUUUAGAAAAAUGGAAAGAAAAUUCUUUUUCCUAGAGGUAUCUAAUUUUCUCUCUCUCUCUUCUCCCCCCACCCAGCUCCAAAGUCAGUAGCUUUGUUCUACUGAUUUCUGACCUGUUCUUCCUUUGUUUUGACUUUCUUUCCUACUAAUCUCAAAUGCCACCUCAUAACCCAACAUCAGGAAUUUUAAAAAACAUGCUCGUUAACGUGGUUUUGUCAUGGUAAACCAGCCUUGCAUAUGGACUAACAUGUUGUCUCACAUAUGAAUUUGGAGAGUCAGUUCAGCCAGUUCAGAGGAUUUAGGCCAACCAUUGUGUGUUCAGAGGUUCAGAGUCAUUGAUCUCUUCUUUCUUUUUGUUUUCUUUUUUAAAUUUUUUUUUGUAAAUUGGCUGAAUCCCUUUACCUCUGUGUCCCCGUUUCCAAAAUUACACCCUGGGUUGGAUCAAAUAAAAAGAUAUACUUAUCAUCAAA